GGCAUCAGCGUGCUCCGGGCGUC
rnacentral:siRNA from 1 species